rnacentral:rRNA from 1 species
CACGAGCGCUGGCGGCAUGCCUAACACAUGCAAGUCGAACGAGACCUUCGGGUCUAGUGGCGCACGGGUGCGUAACGCGUGGGAACCUGCCCUUAGGUUCGGAAUAACUCCCCGAAAGGGGUGCUAAUACCGGAUAAUGUCUUCGGACCAAAGAUUUAUCGCCUUUGGAUGGGCCCGCGUUGGAUUAGCUAGUUGGUAGGGUAAAAGCCUACCAAGGCGACGAUCCAUAGCUGGUCUGAGAGGAUGAUCAGCCACACUGGGACUGAGACACGGCCCAGACUCCUACGGGAGGCAGCAGUGGGGAAUAUUGGACAAUGGGCGAAAGCCUGAUCCAGCAAUGCCGCGUGAGUGAUGAAGGCCUUAGGGUUGUAAAGCUCUUUUACCCGGGAUGAUAAUGACAGUACCGGGAGAAUAAGCUCCGGCUAACUCCGUG